UACGUAGGGUGCAAGCGUUAAUCGGAAUUACUGGGCGUAAAGGGCGCGUAGGCGGACAGUUUAGUCAGAGGUGAAAGCCCAGGGCUCAACCCUGGAAUUGCCUUUGAUACUGGCUGUCUUGAGUACGGGAGAGGUGUGUGGAACUCCGAGUGUAGAGGUGAAAUUCGUAGAUAUUCGGAAGAACACCAGUGGCGAAGGCGACACACUGGCCCGUUACUGACGCUGAGGCGCGAAAGCGUGGGGAGCAAACAGG
rnacentral:rRNA from 1 species